rnacentral:rRNA from 1 species
GUGUCAGCAGCCGCGGUAAUACAGAGGUCCCGAGCGUUGUUCGGAUUCACUGGGCGUAAAGGGUGCGCAGGUGGCAUGGUAAGUUUGAUGUGAAAGCCCCGGGCUUAACCCGGGAAUGGCAUUGAAUACUACUGUGCUGGAGGAUCGGAGGGGGGACUGGAAUUCUUGGUGUAGCAGUGAAAUGCGUAGAUAUCAAGAGGAACACCAGUGGCGAAGGCGAGUCCCUGGACGAUACCUGACACUGAGGCACGAAAGCCAAGGGAGCAAACAGGAUUAGAUACCCCGGUAGUCC